rnacentral:rRNA from 1 species
CCUACGGGAGGCUGCAGUCGAGAAUCAUUCACAAUGGGGGAAACCCUGAUGGUGCGACGCCGCGUGGGGGAAUGAAGGUCUUCGGAUUGUAAACCCCUGUCAUGUGGGAGCAAAUUAAAAAGAUAGUACCACAAGAGGAAGAGACGGCUAACUAUGUGACAGCAGUCGCGGUAAUACAGAGGACUCAAGCGUUGAUCGGAAUUACUGGUCGUAAAGCGUGCGUAGGCGGGUGCGGAAGUCGUGUGUGAAAGGCGCGGGCUCAACCCGCGGACGGCAGAUGAUACUGCGAGACUAGAGUAAUGGAGGGGGAACCGGAAUUCUCGGUGUAGCAGUGAAAUGCGUAGAUAUCGAGAGGAACACUCGUGGCGAAGGCGGGUUCCUGGACAUUAACUGACGCUGAGGCACGAAGGCCAGGGGAGCGAAAGGGAUUAGAUACCCCAGUAGUC